ACGAACGCUGGCGGCGUGCCUAAUACAUGCAAGUCGAACGGUCUUUCUAUGGAAGCUUGCUUCCACUGAGAAGAUAGUGGCGAACGGGUGAGUAACACGUGGGUAACCUGCCCAUAAGAGGGGGGAUAACAUCCGGAAACGGGUGCUAAUACCGCAUAGUUUUCUUGAUCGCAUGAUUGAGAAAGGAAAGACGGCCUUUGUGCUGUCGCUUAUGGAUGAACCCGCGGCGUAUUAGUUAGUUGGUGAGGUAACGGCUCACCAAGACGAUGAUACGUAGCCGACCUGAGAGGGUGAUCGGCCACAUUGGGACUGAGACACGGCCCAAACUCCUACGGGAGGCAGCAGUAGGGAAUCUUCCGCAAUGGACGAAAGUCUGACGGAGCAACGCCGCGUGAGUGAAAGAAGGUUUUCGGAUCGUAAAACUCUGUUGUCAGAGAAGAACAAGUUGGAGAGUAACUGCUCCAGCCUUGACGGUAUCUGACCAGAAAGCCACGGCUAACUACGUGCCAGCCGCGGC
rnacentral:rRNA from 1 species